rnacentral:rRNA from 1 species
UUGAACGCUGGCGGCAGGCCUAACACAUGCCAGUCGAGCGGAUGAAGGGAGCUUGCUCCUGGAUUCAGCGGCGGACGGGUGAGUAAUGCCUAGGAAUCUGCCUGGUAGUGGGGGAUAACGUCCGGAAACGGGCGCUAAUACCGCAUACGUCCUGAGGGAGAAAGUGGGGGAUCUUCGGACCUCACGCUAUCAGAUGAGCCUAGGUCGGAUUAGCUAGUUGGUGGGGUAAAGGCCUACCAAGGCGACGAUCCGUAACUGGUCUGAGAGGAUGAUCAGUCACACUGGAACUGAGACACGGUCCAGACUCCUACGGGAGGCAGCAGUGGGGAAUAUUGGACAAUGGGCGAAAGCCUGAUCCAGCCAUGCCGCGUGUGUGAAGAAGGUCUUCGGAUUGUAAAGCACUUUAAGUUGGGAGGAAGGGCAGUAAGUUAAUACCUUGCUGUUUUGACGUUACCAACAGAAUAAGCACCGGCUAUCUUCGUG